rnacentral:rRNA from 1 species
CAGCAGUAGCCGCGGUAAUACGAAGGGGGCUAGCGUUGCUCGGAAUUACUGGGCGUAAAGGGAGCGUAGGCGGAUCGUUUAGUUGGGGGUGAAAUCCCGGGGCUCAACCUCGGAACUGCCUUCAAUACUGGCGAUCUUGAGUAUGGGAGAGGUGAGUGGAACUCCGAGUGUAGAGGUGAAAUUCGUAGAUAUUCGGAAGAACACCAGUGGCGAAGGCGACUCACUGGCCCAUUACUGACGCUGAGGCUCGAAAGCGUGGGGAGCAAACAGGAUUAGAUACCCCAGUAGUCCCUGUCUCUUAUAC